rnacentral:rRNA from 1 species
GGCGAAUUGGGCCCGACGUCGCAUGCUCCCGGCCGCCAUGGCGGCCGCGGGAAUUCGAUUGGAUCGCCCUUAGAGUUUGAUCCUGGCUCAGGAUGAACGCUGGCGGCGUGCUUAACACAUGCAAGUCGAACGAUGAACCCGAAGCUUGCUUUGGGGGAUUAGUGGCGAACGGGUGAGUAACACGUGAGCAACCUGCCCCUCACUCUGGGAUAAGCGCUGGAAACGGCGUCUAAUACUGGAUACGAGACGCGACCGCAUGGUCAGUGUCUGGAAAGAUUUUUUGGUGGGGGAUGGGCUCGCGGCCUAUCAGCUUGUUGGUGAGGUAAUGGCUCACCAAGGCGUCGACGGGUAGCCGGCCUGAGAGGGUGACCGGCCACACUGGGACUGAGACACGGCCCAGACUCCUACGGGAGGCAGCAGUGGGGAAUAUUGCACAAUGGGCGGAAGCCUGAUGCAGCAACGCCGCGUGAGGGAUGACGGCCUUCGGGUUGUAAACCUCUUUUAGCAGGGAAGAAGCGAAAGUGACGGUACCUGCAGAAAAAGCACCGGCUAACUACGUGCCAGCAGCCGCGGUAAUACGUAGGGUGCAAGCGUUAUCCGGAAUUAUUGGGCGUAAAGAGCUCGUAGGCGGUUUGUCGCGUCUGCUGUGAAAUCCCGAGGCUCAACCUCGGGCCUGCAGUGGGUACGGGCAGACUAGAGUGCGGUAGGGGAGAUUGGAAUUCCUGGUGUAGCGGUGGAAUGCGCAGAUAUCAGGAGGAACACCGAUGGCGAAGGCAGAUCUCUGGGCCGUAACUGACGCUGAGGAGCGAAAGGGUGGGGAGCAAACAGGCUUAGAUACCCUGGUAGUCCACCCCGUAAGCGUUGGGAACUAGUUGUGGGGUCCUUUCCACGGAUUCCGUGACGCAGCUAACGCAUUAAGUUCCCCGCCUGGGGAGUACGGCCGCAAGGCUAAAACUCAAAGGAAUUGACGGGGACCCGCACAAGCGGCGGAGCAUGCGGAUUAAUUCGAUGCAACGCGAAGAACCUUACCAAGGCUUGACAUACACGAGAACGGGCCAGAAAUGGUCAACUCUUUGGACACUCGUGAACAGGUGGUGCAUGGUUGUCGUCAGCUCGUGUCGUGAGAUGUUGGGUUAAGUCCCGCAACGAGCGCAACCCUCGUUCUAUGUUGCCAGCACGUAAUGGUGGGAACUCAUGGGAUACUGCCGGGGUCAACUCGGAGGAAGGUGGGGAUGACGUCAAAUCAUCAUGCCCCUUAUGUCUUGGGCUUCACGCAUGCUACAAUGGCCGGUACAAAGGGCUGCAAUACCGUGAGGUGGAGCGAAUCCCAAAAAGCCGGUCCCAGUUCGGAUUGAGGUCUGCAACUCGACCUCAUGAAGUCGGAGUCGCUAGUAAUCGCAGAUCAGCAACGCUGCGGUGAAUACGUUCCCGGGUCUUGUACACACCGCCCGUCAAGUCAUGAAAGUCGGUAACACCUGAAGCCGGUGGCCUAACCCUUGUGGAGGGAGCCGUCGAAGGUGGGAUCGGUAAUUAGGACUAAGUCGUAACAAGGUAGCCGUAAAGGGCGAUCCCAAUCACUAGUGAAUUCGCGGCCGCCUGCAGGUCGACCAUAUGGGAGAGCUCCCAACGCGUUGGAUGCAUAGCUUGAGUAUUCUAUAGU